AUGCCUGACUCCUCCCCAGCCAACAUCCCAAUGAGGUCAGGUUAUAUUAGCCACCUGCUGGCUGAUGCUCUCUCCUUUUUGGCUCUGAUCCUGUCUCUGCUGUGGUUGUUUUGUGCUCCAGUUCUGCUCUGGUGGUGCGAUUGUUGCCUUUCCCACCUGUUGAACCGAUCCUGUGUGUUAGCGCCCCAUACAAGAGGUGCAGAGCGACAUGUUGUGGUGGGGCUAGAUACCCGUGAUGGGAUCCCCACUUCUGAUGCAUGUCAAUAAGAGCACCAGGACACGUUUGUAGACUGCACUUGUCCUUAAUUUUGGUUAGUUUGUUUGACUGAUAGUUUUACAUAUUAUGGUUAACCAGUGGUUUUAGAUAUUGUAUCAGGCCUUUCUUUGAAUAAUUGUAAUACAGUAUUUUUAUUCUCUGCUUGUUUUAUUUUGAUUAUUUAAAUAAAAAUGCUGGUUUAAUGUGAAAAACACUUUUCUGUCUUACCUAAGUAACCAGACUGUGUGCCUUCGUUAUUAAUCCAAAUAACAUUUAGGGUUAGAAGUUGAAAUAUUUCCUGGGGUGCAUUUCCCCAGGUCCUUUCCUCAUUCUCUCCUCACUGCCCUUUCCAUGCAUACAACCCUAUCUCUUACAAGACCUCCCAAUUAUACAACAAAAUACGGGGUUUGUUUAUGCCCUCUAGAGCGACACAUGGAAGUAUU
rnacentral:lncRNA from 15 species